UACGUAGGAGACGAGCGUUGUCCGGAAUUACUGGGCGUAAAGCGCACGUAGGCGGCUUUUUAAGUCAGGGGUGAAAUCCCGGGGCUCAACCCCGGAACUGCCCUUGAAACUGGAGAGCUAGAAUCUUGGAGAGGCGAGUGGAAUUCCGAGUGUAGAGGUGAAAUUCGUAGAUAUUCGGAAGAACACCAGUGGCGAAGGCGACUCGCUGGACAAGUAUUGACGCUGAGGUGCGAAAGCGUGGGGAGCAAACAGG
rnacentral:rRNA from 1 species